rnacentral:rRNA from 1 species
GAUCAUGGCUCAGGAUGAACGCUAGCUACAGGCUUAACACAUGCAAGUCGAGGGGCAGCAUGAACUUAGCUUGCUAAGUUUGAUGGCGACCGGCGCACGGGUGAGUAACACGUAUCCAACCUUCCCGUUACUCUGGGAUAGCCUUUCGAAAGAAAGAUUAAUACCGGAUAGUAUCGAGAGAUUGCAUGAUAACCCGAUUAAAGAAUUCAUCGGUAACGGAUGGGGAGUGCGUUCCCAUUAG